GUUUAUAGUUUUGGCGCCCAUACCGGACGGGGUAUGGGGACGGCCCUGGAAUCUGAUUUCAAGUGUUAAGGGUUAACGGGUAACGGGACCCCUAUGGAUCCCCAUGGAUACUAGUGGGCUGGUAAAUGAGGAAAAUAUGUUGUGUAAUGAUUGAAUUACAAAAGGCGUAAUAAGUAUUAUGUUAUACAGUUUAUAUAUGAUUUCAUGAUGAUGAUAAUGUUAUUGCUUUCGUAUACUGUUUUAUGAAUUUCACCGAGGUAAGUGGAUGGUAAAGGAUUUAUUAUUGACAAAAGAAUUUGUUGUAAAUUAUGCUCCAUUGGUCUUUUUGUGUUUUCUACCCACCUUUACCUCCGUGACGGUGAGAUAUCGUGAUGUCUUUACUGGGCUAGUGUAGCUCAUUCCUUAUUUAAUUAUUUCAGAUCAGGAAGACAUUGUUCCUGAGCCCGUUCCGCAGGAGGACGACGAAGGAGACGCCUAAAGACUCCAUAGUCAUAUUCGUAGCUUUUACUUUCAAGUUUCGCCUUUAGGUAGUUUGAUCUUUUAUAUUUUGUGAG
rnacentral:lncRNA from 1 species